UACGGAGGGUGCGAGCGUUGUCCGGAAUUAUUGGGCGUAAAGGGCGCGUAGGCGGCUUGGCAAGUGGAAGGUGAAAUCCCUCGGCUUAACCGAGGAACUGCAUUUGAAACUCCCUUUCUUGAGUACCGGAGAGGAAAGUGGAAUUCCUGGUGUAGAGGUGAAAUUCGUAGAUAUCAGGAGGAACACCAGUGGCGAAGGCGGCUUUCUGGACGGUAACUGACGCUGAGACGCGAAAGCGUGGGGAGCAAACAGG
rnacentral:rRNA from 1 species